GUCUCCCUGUGGUUCAGUGGUUAGAGCAUCCGACCGGUGUACGGAAGGUCAUGGGUUCGACUCUCGUCUGGGACU